UAAUACAGAGGGUGCGAGCGUUAAUCGGAAUCACUGGGCUUAAAGCGUGCGUAGGCGGACGUGCAGGCAUGUUGUGAAAUCCCAUGGCUCAACCAUGGAAUUGCUUCGUGAACCGCAUGUCUCGAGGCAGGUAGAGGCGGUCGGAACGCUAGGUGGAGCGGUGAAAUGCGUAGAUAUCUAGCGGAACGCCAAAGGAGAAGUCAGGCCGCUGGGCCUCGCCUGACGCUGAGGCACGAAAGCGUGGGGAGCAAACGGGAUUAGAUACCCCGGUAGUCCACGCCCUAAACGAUGCGCACUAGAUCGAGGAGGCUGACGCCCCCUUGAUCGAAGCAAAAGUGUUAAGUGCGCCGCCUGGGGAGUACGGUCGCAAGGCUAAAACUCAAAGGAAUUGACGG
rnacentral:rRNA from 1 species